rnacentral:lncRNA from 1 species
GGCAGCCCCCGCAGGCUCAGUUGGGGAAGGACGGCAUCCCAUGGGAGGGAUCCUGCAUGGAGCAGGGGCAGGGAGGGACCGUGAGGGAGAGGUGGAGACGAAGCACAUCAGGGACUGACCGCAGCCCCAUUCCCUAUUUCUCUGUGCUGCUCAGGGGAAGGAGGUAGAAGAGGAUGGAUUGGGGGAAGGUGUUUUUAGUUUGCUUUUAGUUAUCAUUGCCCUAGUCUGUAGGCAAUAGGCAAUAAAUUAUGUUAAUCUCCUUUACUCUGAGUCUGUUUUGCCCAUGAAGGUAAUUGCUGAGUGAUCUUCCUGUCCUAUCUCAAUCCACAAGGUUUUCAUCAUUAUUUUCUGUGCUUUGCCUUCUGAGGAGUGGGAGUGAGAGCAGCAUGCCAGAGCUUAGCUACCCACAGGUAAACCUGUAGUCACCACAGUGACUUUGAGAAAGGUGAAGUAAAACUGGAGUUGGAUUUGUCAUAGAGAGGGAAUUAGGAAAAAUUGUAUUUACUACUUUUAGUGCUGGUGUGAGCUGUGCCAGAUGUAUGAAUAGCAUAAUGUCCUGGGAGGAAGAGCAAGGAGUCUAAUUCUCUGUGUGUUAGCUGAAGGCAAAAAAUGGGAUACCCAAAACAUAAUUAAGAAAUAGUCCUUGUCUUUAAUGAAGAGUGACAGGCUUAAAAAUCAGCACCAAGAGACAGCAGCUGUAAUAGGUAAUAGGUGAUAAUAGGUAAUAUAAUAGGUAAUAAUAGCUAUAAGGUAGGUCACAAGAAACAUUAAGUUCAAAGUUCCUACAGGAUCACCCAGAAUAAAGUAUGGAGGACAACAAACCCCAUGGAGAGGUGAAAAGAAUGGACAGAUGGAGAAGAGAGAAAAUGGAGACUAGCUGAGAGUGGAUAACAUCUAACACUGAUGCUCCUGAUGACUACCUGACAUCUGGCGGUACAGCAGGCAAACAUUUUUGUAUCUUUUGUUACCCCUCUUACUGGAAAUCAGAUUUUAUGAAAAUCUAUACAACAGGAGCUGAAGGCAGAGAUCUCUGCCAAAGGAUCUUCAGUCUUGGGAUGUGUUUCUCUGUUAAUUCACUGGAGCUGGAAUGUACUCCAAGUAAGCUGCAGAAAUAUCAAAAAGUUCACCUGAAGCUGGAAGUCCUCCUUGGAUUUUUCACCAAUACAGAUUAAUGGGGAAAAGAAAAAAUCACAGAUGUUUGUCUGGCAAGAGCUCACAAUCUAAAGAACCUGAGCAGCAGCCAGAAAAGGUUCCAAAACUCACUUGGAGCUGUGGUUACACUGUCCUGUCCAAUGCAGUUAAGUAAAACAACCUGAAUAAGAUUAGUUCAAAAAUGUAUCCCAGCUUCUUUCUAUUUAUGGCAAGGCAAUGUUUGGCUAGGUCUCAGUCAAUUCUGACUCUGCAGUGUGAGUGACUAAGCACCAUUAAGAAGUUCUCAGGAAAGCUAAUUCUCUUCAUUAGUCUUCAAAGACUGGGUUGACUGACUGUCAAAAGCUUUAGUGUGGUUACAGGCCAAGCAGAGGUCUCGAGGCCCCUUCUAGUGGUCCUUUCCUCAUCCAUGUUGAGUAGUACAAUAAUUAUGGUGUGCAAUUCACCUGAAGUACAUGAACUUCUCUGGAUACAACCAGUAACACUUUUGGGUGUACAUACGAACUAAUGAAAAACACCAUGAGAAGACUUGUCCCUUUACUACCUACCCACUGCUUUGGGAUUAUUCUACCAAGUCUUAGCAUGCAUUAUAACUGGGUGAGAUUUUACUCAUUCUGGUUUGUGCAGGACUGCUAUCAUUCUAUCCCCUCUUCAUGCUAGUGCUUUGGUGGUUUACCAUAACCUGCCCCUGAAAAAAAAAAAAGACCAUAAGCACGGUGAUGGCUGCGUUCCAGUUAUCCAUAAAGUUAUGGUGAUUAUCUUGAGGCAAAAGACCCACGAAGUGAAGUCUGACCUACACCAACUGUGGUCUGUGGGACUGCAUUGGUACGUAUACCAACACUACGUGCACUGUGCCUUAAAUAAGUACAAGGAAUAGUGGUUGCCAAUGUGGUAUCUGUAAGAUAUGGAUCAAGAAAUGAGCAAAUGAGUUUUUCUCUCCUUUUCAAGAAGCAGUAGAUAGGAUGAUCAGUAAGAAAAGACAGGCAAAGAAGACUAAAACCAAGUGGAUUCGUUUGGU